AGAGUUUGAUCUUGGCUCAGGAUGAACGCUAGCUACAGGCUUAACACAUGCAAGUCGAGGGGAAACGACAUCGAAAGCUUGCUUUUGAUGGGCGUCGACCGGCGCACGGGCGAGUAACGCGUAUCCAACCUGCCCAUCACUUGGGGAUAACCUUGCGAAAGUAAGACUAAUACCCAAUGAUAUCUCUAGAAGGCAUCUGAAAGAGAUUAAAGAUUUAUCGGUGAUGGAUGGGGAUGCGUCUGAUUAGCUUGUUGGCGGGGUAACGGCCACCAAAGCAACGAUCAGUAGGGGUUCUGAGAGGAAGGUCCCCANAUUGGAACUGAGACACGGUCCAAACUCCUACGGGAGGCA
rnacentral:rRNA from 1 species